rnacentral:rRNA from 1 species
UACGAAGGGGGCUAGCGUUGCUCGGAAUUACUGGGCGUAAAGGGCGCGUAGGCGGACAGUUAAGUCAGAGGUGAAAGCCCAGGGCUCAACCCUGGAAUUGCCUUUGAUACUGGCUGUCUUGAGUAUGGGAGGGGUGAGUGGAACUCCGAGUGUAGAGGUGAAAUUCGUAGAUAUUCGCAAGAACACCAGUGGCGAAGGCGGCUCACUGGCCCGGUACUGACGCUGAGGUGCGAAAGCGUGGGGAGCAAACAGG